rnacentral:misc_RNA from 1 species
UAGCAGCUGGUAGUGAUGCCA